UACGUAGGGUGCGAGCGUUAAUCGGAAUUACUGGGCGUAAAGCGUGCGCAGGCGGCGCGUUAAGACAGGUGUGAAAGCCCCGAGCUUAACUUGGGAAUUGCGCUUGUGACUGGCGUGCUGGAGUGUGGAAGAGGGAGGUGGAAUUCCACGUGUAGCAGUGAAAUGCGUAGAGAUGUGGAGGAACACCGAUGGCGAAGGCAGCCUCCUGGGCCAGCACUGACGCUAAUGCACGAAAGCGUGGGGAGCAAACAGG
rnacentral:rRNA from 1 species